rnacentral:rRNA from 1 species
GUAGGGAAUAUUGGUCAAUGGGGGGAACCCUGAUCCAGCCAUGCCGCGUGGAGGAAGACUGCCCUCUGGGUUGUAAACUCCUUUUAUAUGGGAAGAACCGUCCUCAUUAAUGAGUGACCUGACGGUACCAUAGGAAUAAGCACCGGCUAACUCCGUGCCAGCAGCCGCGGUAAUACGGAGGGUGCAAGCGUUAUCCGGAUUCACUGGGUUUAAAGGGUGCGUAGGCGGAUAAAUAAGUCAGUGGUGAAAUCAACGGGCUCAACCUGUUAACUGCCAUUGAUACUGUGUAUCUUGAAUAUGAGGGAGGUAGGCGGAAUGUUGCAUGUAGCAAUGAAAUGCUUAGAUAUGCUACGGAACACCGAUUGCGAAGGCAGCUUACUAUUUCGUAAUUGACGCUGAGGCACGAAAGCGUGGGUAGCGAACAGGAUUAGAAACCCCAGUAGUCC